CAUGUGAUUAUUCCCCUAGCAAUAAUGUACAAUUUAUUUUUAUGAUAAAUUUGAUAUUCUUUGCUUUAGGAGCUGCUAUCUGAUAAGAUGAACAUGUCCUAAGAGGUUCACUUUAAGUCCAUGUAUAAUACAGGGCACACGCUGUUCUGUCCCUCAGCAAUAUUAAUUAAAGUAGUAUUACCCCUUAAAGACAAAGGUUCUUUUGAGAUGCAACAUGUUUGUGACCAAGGUCUUUUUGCUAUGUGUUGAUUCCCCCUUUCUGUUUAAAGGGACACUCCAGGCACCCAGACCACUUCUGCCCAUUGGAGUGGUCUGGGUGCCAACUCCCACUACUCUUAACUCUGCAAGUGUAAAUAUUGCAGUUUUUUAUAAACUGCAAUAAUUACCUUGCAGGGUUAACUCCACCUCUAGUGGCUGUCUACUAGACAGCCACUAGGGGGCACUUCCUGGUCCAUAGCACAGAAAACCUGUGCUAGAGCGUCGCUAGACGUCCUCACACUGUGUGAGGACCUCCAGCGUCGCUCAAUUCCCCAUAGGAAAGCAUUGAAAAGCAUUUUCAAUGCUUUUCUAUGGAGAGCUCAAAUGCGCAUGCGCGUCAUUGCCGCACAUGCGCAUUAGGUCUCCGCAGCCGGCCGGCGGGAUCAGUCUUGGCCACCGGCCGACGUAAUGAAGAGGAGGGGCGGUGGCGACCCGAAACCACC